UAACUGAUUGUGGAAUGCGAAGGACCUGUGAUCAUGCAAAGGUGACAGAGCAAGACACUGAUAGUAGAACUGUGGAGAAGUAUCCCUGGAGAUGACCCACAAUCUCAAGAAGGCUGAAGAGGAGAGGAAGAGAAUGGAUAAAUCGAAACAAGUGUUUAGAUGAUCAAGGCCUUAUAAGCCAUAGUAAAUUUAAUAGUAAAUAAUACAUAGAGGGAAAUUUCUUCCUCUGA
rnacentral:lncRNA from 1 species